rnacentral:rRNA from 1 species
AGUGGCGGACGGGUGAGUAACGCGUGAGAAUCUGGCCUCAGGUCGGGGAUAACGACUGGAAACGGUCGCUAAUACCGGAUGUGCCUAAGGGUGAAAGCUUUAGUGCCUGAGGAUGAGCUCGCGUCUGAUUAGCUAGUUGGAGUGGUAAUGGCACACCAAGGCGACGAUCAGUAGCUGGUCUGAGAGGAUGAUCAGCCACACUGGGACUGAGACACGGCCCAGACUCCUACGGGAGGCAGCAGUGGGGAAUUUUCCGCAAUGGGCGAAAGCCUGACGGAGCAAUACCGCGUGAGGGAAGACGGCUUUUGGGUUGUAAACCUCUUUUGUCAGGGAAGAAGAUCUGACGGUACCUGACGAAUCAGCAUCGGCUAACUCCGUGCCAGCAGCCGCGGUAAUACGGAGGAUGCAAGCGUUAUCCGGAUUUAUUGGGCGUAAAGCGUCCGCAGGUGGCUAUACAAGUCUGCUGUUAAAGCGCGAGGCUUAACCUCGUACAGGCGGUGGAAACUGUAUGGCUAGAGUAUGGUAGGGGUAGCGGGAAUUCCCAGUGUAGCGGUGAAAUGCGUAGAUAUUGGGAAGAACACCAGCGGCAAAAGCGCGCUACUGGGCCAUAACUGACACUCAUGGACGAAAGCUAGGGGAGCGAAAGGGAUUAGAUACCCCUGUAGUCCUAGCUGUAAACGAUGGGUACUAGGUGUU